rnacentral:lncRNA from 1 species
AAAAUACAAAAACCAAGCUGAGCUAUGUUGUGCAUUUGACGAUGAGAAAUAUAUAAUGAAGACAAGGCUGCUGAUUCUUUCUUUAUUUUUCAGGUCAGCCUUGCAAGCGUAUCCUCUUCUUCUUCUUCUUUUUCUUUAUUUCUUUCUUUAUUGUAUUGUACUUGUUUCCUCUACGCACGCAUUUACCUAAUGAUGACUAACUUGAGCUUAUCCAAGGAAAUGUAUGGUCUCCCAAGUUUUGUUUACACAAUUGGUGAUCCAACGUAUAUCUUUUCGUUUUGCACAAACUUCCACUGCAUCAAAUAACCCAUUUUAUACCAAGCUGAUAUCCCACCCUUCUCCACCUUUAGUCCACUACUUGUGCUUCUC